rnacentral:ribozyme from 15 species
AAUAAAACUUUCUGAAGUUGUAACUGAUUUACUGAUUUAAUAUAAUUCCUUCGUACCAGAAUGAAAGAAAAUUAAAGUCGU